rnacentral:rRNA from 1 species
AGGAGGAUUGCUAGGCUUGAGGAGAGAAGAAGGACGUGGCAAGCUGCGAUAAGCUCGGGGUAGGCGCACGCAUCCUAUGAUCCCGAGAUGUCCGAAUGAGAAUCUUACACUUUUGUGUAUUCCAGUACACUGGUAUUGGAAGUCGAACCGUGGGAAUUGAAGCAUCUUAGUACCACGUGGAAAAGAAAUCAAUUGAGAUUUCCCAAGUAG